GACGAACGCUGGCGGCGUGCUUAACACAUGCAAGUCGAACGGUAAGGCCCCUUCGGGGGUACACGAGUGGCGAACGGGUGAGUAGCACGUGAGCAACCUGCCCUUGACUCUGGAAUAACAGUUGGAAACAGCUGCUAAUACUGGAUAUUCAUCGUCUCCUUCCUGGGGGGUGGUGGAAAGCUCCGGCGGUCAGGGAUGGGCUCGCGGCCUAUCAGCUUGUUGGUGAGGUAAUGGCUCACCAAGGCUUCGACGGGUAGCCGGCCUGAGAGGGCGACCGGCCACACUGGGACUGAGAUACGGCCCAGACUCCUACGGGAGGCAGCAGUGGGGAAUAUUGCACAAUGGGCGCAAGCCUGAUGCAGCAACGCCGCGUGCGGGAUGACGGCCUUCGGGUUGUAAACCGCUUUCAGUAGGGACGAAGGGUGACUGACGGUACCUACAGAAGAAGGACCGGCUAACUACGUG
rnacentral:rRNA from 1 species